GAUGAACGCUGGCGGCGUGCCUAAUACAUGCAAGUCGAGCGAACAGACGAGGAGCUUGCUCCUCUGACGUUAGCGGCGGACGGGUGAGUAACACGUGGAUAACCUACCUAUAAGACUGGGAUAACUUCGGGAAACCGGAGCUAAUACCGGAUAAUAUAUUGAACCGCAUGGUUCAAUAGUGAAAGACGGUUUUGCUGUCACUUAUAGAUGGAUCCGCGCCGCAUUAGCUAGUUGGUAAGGUAACGGCUUACCAAGGCGACGAUGCGUAGCCGACCUGAGAGGGUGAUCAGCCACACUGGAGCUGAGACACGGUCCAGACUCCUACGGGAGGCAGCAGUAGGGAAUCUUCCGCAAUGGGCGAAAGCCUGACGGAGCAACGCCGCGUGAGUGAUGAAGGUCUUCGGAUCGUAAAACUCUGUUAUUAGGGAAGAACAAAUGUGUAAGUAACUAUGCACGUCUUGACGGUACCUAAUCAGAAAGCCACGGCUAACUACGUG
rnacentral:rRNA from 1 species